rnacentral:tRNA from 1 species
GCCCGGAUGGCGGAAUAGGUAGACGCGCUGGACUUAAAAUCCAGUGAUUUUUAAAAAUCGUGCCGGUUCGAUUCCGGCUCCGGGUA